UCCAGAGGCCUCUCCUCCCCAGGGCAUGCCUCCAGGGCUGGAUGUAUCCACAGUGAGGCACUCUGUGAUCAGCCUCAGUUCAGAGAAGACUACUGUACAGAGGUUAUCAUGCGGUGGUUGGAGUGGAGAUAAAAAGAGAGGUGUUGCAAAACAAGAUGAUGGGAAGAGGGAAACCAAGCAUAUCCAUCGUCUUCAGUGCAGCACUGGGUACGGAUAUUAAAAACAUUCAGCCCUGUGAGAUGAGUUGGAACUCUAUCUUAACUGCACUACACAGCUCGCUGCCACAGAGAACAAACUUUCUGCUCUUUUCAUGACUCACUGGAGUUCAAAGCUGAAUCAGUUUUUCUGGGUUGUACCUCUUUAUUUUUUUGCUUUAAGUAAGAUUUUGACCUAACUAGUCAUGAUUCAACACUAAAGCACCUUGGGAUAUGAUUAUACAUCAUCAGCGGUGUGUUUUGUUGGACCUGUAACCACACCCAACAAUGAUUUCAUGGUGUAGCAGGGUGUACUGGAAAAGAAAUUCAGCCCUUGACUGAUGGCCAGGACACCUCUGUGUACUGACACCACCUGGAGUACACUUUGACAUCACUGCAGCAAGAUGGACUGGUCAGUUGGCUCUGUUGUGGGAUAUUGGAGAUCAAGUGCCCCUUCACAGCCAAAGAUGACACUGGAGGACAAUACAAGAACCAAAGGAAGUAGUGUUACCAUGACUACUACCAUCAAGUGCAGUGUCAGUUGCAUGUCUGCAAUAUGAGACACUGUGACUUCAUAGUUACUGUCCUCAGGAUGUUGUCAUUGACAGCUCCUAGACGGAUAGUGAGUUUUGGGAUCAUGUUGCCAGCGCAACACAUUUUUUUCCAGACAUGUGUUCUGCCAGAGCUGCUGAGGAGAUGGUUCAGGUCCCGUCAUGGCAACACCCACCUGAAGAUAUGACUGUAAAUCCCUCCUGUCCUAAUCUCUGCUUGAAGUGGACUGCAGUUUGAAGAUAUGACUUGGUGCUUUAUUUCAGGUUUAUUUAAGGUCAGGAGGAAGACGGAGUGACUGUCUGGAAGAGAGUGAUGUGUCUCUCUUUCUCUGCAGUCUGUGUUAUUGUGCCAUCCAGUCUCAUUACUUUGAAGCCUCUGUUGCCCAGGAUGCGUUCCACGAUGUCAAGCACCUUCUUGUAAAGAGUGAAGACGAGUGUGCAGUGGCCUUCUUGUCUGAGCUGUUCGAGAAGGGCCAACAGAAAGACAAGUUACUCCACCUCUACAGUAACCAAAAGUUACUGUAGAGGUGCUAUAUUAAAUUUUCCUUUGGUACAAUAUGUAAUUUUUUCUUCAGCUGAUAUUUAUUUACAUUUUGCUACAACAGGUAACUUAAUCACUAGUAAAUAAACCAAUUUUUAUUAGACAAAUAUUUGAUAACAAUUGAUUACAGCUAUUUCUAAAUGUAAGGUUACACAAAAUAUUCACACUUUUAUGGAGUUACUUUUGCGUCUUUAUUAUGCAAUCAAACAGAAUAGGCUUGCAAUGAAAAAACAGAUUUGACACUGCAAUCAAAAAAUG